ACAGCAUCUGAAAUGAAGUAGGAUAACCCGCUGAACUGAAGCAUCUCAUAAGCGGAGAA
rnacentral:rRNA from 1 species